GUGUAGCUCAAUCAGCAGAGAGUAGAUCAUCGCUCCCAACACACCCCCCACCAUUGGGCCAGCAACUGGGAUCCACCACCAGCAACCAUCCGCUCUGAACACACAGCACAACACACACCCACCAUCGAGCAUCACUCUCCCUACAUCACCACCGACUAUUCUGCUGACUAUUUUCACAUUUUCUGAGCAAACUAGUCUCUGAAUAGUCUGAACAACCUAAAAGAUUUCCUGAUGUUACUAAUCACCCCCUUGGCUGGGCUUGAUGCCCUCAUGCAUCUUUUUGUUGACUUGGUGAUUGCUCUGGCAACCUGUCCUGAUACAGGAUUAUCUGCUUCUACCUACAAGGCUUGAAAUGGAGAUCAAGCAAACACAGUGGGCCAAUUUGUUUGUGUUUAGCUCUCAAAGGAAAAUAUUUCCUGUACACUAAAUGUAGCUGAUCAAUAAAGACAUGUCUGGUGUCUAAAGGGCCUAAAUCUGUUCCAGCACAACAAUGCCCCUGUGUACACAGUGAGCUCCAUGAAGACGUGGUCUGGCAAGGGUCUAGUGUAAGAAUUGGAGUGAUCUGCACAGAGCCCUGACCUCAACCCCAAUGAGCACAUUGGGAUAAACUGGAAUGCUGUUCUACCAUCAGUGUCUGACCUCACUAAUGCUCUAAUGGGCAAAUGCACACAAUCACCCUCUGAAAUCUAGUGGAAAGCUUUCCCAGAAAAGUGGAGGUUAUUAUAACAGAAACAGUAGGGACUAAAUCUGAAGUGAGAAUAGUAUGUUCAACAAACACAAAUGUGUGUGAUGGCAUGAUAUUUUA